rnacentral:rRNA from 1 species
AUUGAACGCUGGCGGCAUGCUUUACACAUGCAAGUCGAACGGUAACAGGCCGCAAGGUGCUGACGGGUGGCGAACGGGCGAGUAAUGCAUCGGAACGUGCCAAGUUGCGGGGGAUAACGCUGCGAAGGCCGUGCUAAUACCGCAUACGAUCUAUGGAUGAACGCGGGGGACCGUAAGGCCUCGCGCGAUUGGAGCGGCAGAUGUCAGCAUCGGAAGUAGGUGGGGUACAGGCCUACCAAGCCGACGAUCUGUAGCGGGUCUGAAAGGACGACCAACCACACUGGAACUGAGACACGGCCCAGACUCCUACGGGAGGCAGAAGUGGGGAAGUUUGGACAAUGGGCUCAAGCCUGAUCCAGCAAUGCCGCGUGCAGGAAGAAGGCCUUCGGGUUGUAAACUGCUUUUGUACGGAACGAAACGGUCUGGGUUAAUACCCUGGGCUAAUGACGGUACCGUAAGAAUAAGCACCGGCUAACUACGUGCCAGCCGCCGCCGUAAGAC